GUGCACGCUGGCGGUAGGCCUAACCCAUGCAAGUCGAACGGCAGCACCGUAAGAGCUUGCUCUUACGGGUGGCGAGUGGCGGACGGGUGAGGAAUACAUCGGAAUCUACUUUUUCGUGGGGGAUAACGUAGGGAAACUUACGCUAAUACCGCAUACGACCUACGGGUGAAAGCAGGGGAUCUUCGGACCUUGCGCGAUUGAAUGAGCCGAUGUCGGAUUAGCUAGUUGGCGGGGUAAAGGCCCACCAAGGCGACGAUCCGUAGCUGGUCUGAGAGGAUGAUCAGCCACACUGGAACUGAGACACGGUCCAGACUCCUACGGGAGGCAGCAGUGGGGAAUAUUGGACAAUGGGCGCAAGCCUGAUCCAGCCAUACCGCGUGGGUGAAGAAGGCCUUCGGGUUGUAAAGCCCUUUUGUUGGGAAAGAAAAGCAGCAGGUUAAUACCCCGCUGUUCUGACGGUACCCAAAGAAUAAGCACCGGCUAACUUCGUG
rnacentral:rRNA from 1 species